AGGGAUCAUAUAUUUUGCAUACUCCAUUUGUUUCUGUCAAAAUUUAGGCAAACCUGAUUUGUGACCGUUUUAUUUAAUUAUUUAACAUGGGGUCGAUAUGUGGAAAGAGCGCAGCCAAAGCAGAAGCGAAGGAGGAAAAUAAGCAAGAACAAGACGGAAACCAAGCCCAAGAUACACAGCAAGAAGCAAACGGCAAAGCUUCAGAGACUGUCCAGGAGGUGGAAAACAAAAUUGAGGAAGAAGCGAAGCAAGCAGACGAACAGCAAGUUGCUGAAGCUGAAAAGAUUUCAAGUGACAUUGUGAAUGAUGCAGUAGCUGAAGCAAGUCAACAACAACAACAAGCGACCGAGCAGCAGGAGGGAUAGUUAAACCCGAAGAUUCGCUUAAUCGGUUAAUUUGUGUUGUUCUUCUACACGAUCCACACGUUAAUGUUUGUUAUUUAUCUAACAAAGGUUUGCGCUAAUUUGUUGAUUCUAAGAAACUUAUAGGAUUUAUUGAAACGUACUUUUUAAACAAUCCACGGGACAUAAUUAACAUUACAGCCAUACAUGUGUACUCUGUAAGGUUUAGUUGUUUUAAGUAAAACGAGAAAUAAAUUCACUUCGGUCGUCAAAGUAGCAAACCUUUAAAGUACGAACUGUUAUUUCGAAUCAAUGAUUUCGUACAUACUGGAAUACUAGUGUUCAAUAAUUUGUCGUUAAACCAAUUAAAUGACGUCAUUUCAUCUAUA